GACGAACGCUGGCGGCGUGCUUAACACAUGCAAGUCGAACGGAAAGGCCUAGCUUGCUGGGUCCUCGAGUGGCGAACGGGUGAGUAACACGUGGGUGAUCUGCCCCUGACUUUGGGAUAAGCCUGGGAAACUGGGUCUAAUACCGGAUAUUCAUUUUUCCUCGCAUGGGGAUUUGUGGAAAGCUUUUGCGGUUGGGGAUGGGCCCGCGGCCUAUCAGCUUGUUGGUGGGGUAAUGGCCUACCAAGGCGACGACGGGUAGCCGACCUGAGAGGGUGAUCGGCCACACUGGGACUGAGACACGGCCCAGACUCCUACGGGAGGCAGCAGUGGGGAAUAUUGCACAAUGGGCGCAAGCCUGAUGCAGCGACGCCGCGUGAGGGAUGACGGCCUUCGGGUUGUAAACCUCUUUCAGCUCCGACGAAGCGCAAGUGACGGUAGGAGCAGAAGAAGCACCGGCCAACUACGUG
rnacentral:rRNA from 1 species